GAUGAACGCUGGCGGCGUGCCUAAUACAUGCCAGUAGAACGCUGAAGCUUGGUGCUUGCACCGAGCGGAUGAGUUGCGAACGGGUGAGUAACGCGUAGGUAACCUGCCUCUUAGCGGGGGAUAACUAUUGGAAACGAUAGCUAAUACCGCAUAAAAGUCGAUAUCGCAUGAUAUUGAUUUGAAAGGUGCAAAUGCAUCACUAAGAGAUGGACCUGCGUUGUAUUAGCUAGUUGGUGAGGUAACGGCUCACCAAGGCGACGAUACAUAGCCGACCUGAGAGGGUGAUCGGCCACACUGGGACUGAGACACGGCCCAGACUCCUACGGGAGGCAGCAGUAGGGAAUCUUCGGCAAUGGGGGCAACCCUGACCGAGCAACGCCGCGUGAGUGAAGAAGGUUUUCGGAUCGUAAAGCUCUGUUGUAAGAGAAGAACGAGUGUGAGAGUGGAAAGUUCACACUGUGACGGUAACUUACCAGAAAGGGACGGCUAACUACGUG
rnacentral:rRNA from 1 species